GUCACCAGUCUGCCUGGGUUCAAGUUCCAGCUUUCCACUUACCACUUAUGUGAUAUUAGGACCAAUUCUGACAUUCCAGCCAUGGCUUGGACACCCCCAGCAACAGAGAAUCCCCACCUUUAAUGAUUCAGAGAGUACCUGCACUGACCAGACUAGACCACUCUUUAAAAAUGUGUUGAAUAAAAUAGAUUUAUCA